AGAGAAUCGCCUGAACCCGGCAGGUGGAGGUUGCAGUGAGCCAAGAUCACGCCACUGCACUCCAGCCUGGGUAACAGAG
rnacentral:snRNA from 1 species